GAUUGUCAUACUUUUAAUGUUUGCUGAACUAGUGAGUGCAAAAUGAUAUCUUAGUUUUAAUUUGUAGUUCCUGAAUAAUUAAUUUGGUUGAGUAUUUAUUUAUUCAUGUGUUUGUUGGCUUUUCUAAUUUCCUUAUCUACAAAGUAAAUGCAGUUCAUAUCUCUCUUUACUUUCUUAGCCCUUUUAUAUCCACAUGUGGAUGAGGAGUUAAAGAUACAUGAGUAGCACUGAGGCAGAUGAAGAGGAAUGAGGCAGAAUGAGUGUUCCAAGAAGAGAAGACACCAUAUUUGAAAUGCCAGACAUCAGUGAGAAUGUGGGGUGUUUGAGAAACCAAGAGAAAUCCUAUGCAUUAUGAUGCUAAAAUGCAAGCUUUGAUUUUAAGACUUCUCCUGGUACAGACCAGGUUCUCCAGAAGAGAUGCUGGACAGAGUUUGGGUUGCAAGGUGCUGCCAAGUCUGAGCUGGGUCAAGAUUGAAUUGGAGGAGAGUAAGUUUUUUUAAAAUAAUUCCUUAUAUUUGCAUAGGAUUCACAAAGCCCUUUCAAAUUCAUUUUUGAAUUUUACUUCUCAUAACCACUCUGUGAAGAGACUAGCAUUAUUUCUCAUCUUACAGUUAAAAAAAUCUGAGGUCUAGAGAGGUUAUGUGACUCAUUGAAUCUACACAGGUCCUAUGGAGUGUGGGACCCAGGUGUUCUGAUCCCAGUCCAUGGCUUUGGCUGCUAUGUCUUAGCUCCUGUAUCUACCUUGCAAUGUGAAGACUGAGGAAAAGAUGAAUUAUUUGCAUAAAGAAGAGCUAAUGGUAUUCUGGUACCAAUUCUCAAAGCAAACGUGGGGGUUGGUUUCCCACAUACCAUGGAGCACUUUUCAGACAUGUUGAUGUCCUGCAGUUCAACUCAAUUUUGACACUAUCUACCUAAAGAUAGUGUCAUACUCUACACGUUAAGGGUUCAGUCCUACAAGACUUCCCCCACCCCCCACUUCAGAUGCCAGUGCAAGUCCAGUUUGUCACCUGGGCUUCUGACUAGCCAGCUAUAAAAUUGGAGUUCCCCGCAACUCCUUCCUUAGGUAGGAUUAAUUUGCUAGAGGGGUUCAGAGAACUCAGAGGAAUAUUUUACUUACUAUUUACUAGCUUAUUAUAAAGAAAGACAUAAAUCAAGGACAGCCAGAUAGAAGAACCGCGUAGGGAACAUGUAAAGAAAUGGGAGGAGCUUGCCACUCUUCCCAAAUCUCCAUGAGUUCACCAAUCUGGAAGUUCUCUGAACCUUUACUGUUUCUAUGGAGGCUCCAUUACAUAGACAUGGUUAAUUAAAGCAUUGGUCAUUGAUGAUUGAUUCAAUCUCCAGCCCCUUUCCCCUUCCCCAAGGUCUUGGAGGUAGAAUUUAAAGUUCCAGUCUUCUAAUUGUGUGGUUGGUUCUCCUGGCAAGCUGCCCCCAUCCUUAAGUUUGGUCCCAAAGUCACCUUAUUAUUUUUUCAUUUUCGUCUUUUUUUUUUUAGGGCUGUGC
rnacentral:lncRNA from 1 species